UACAGAGGGGGCCAGCGUUAUUCGGAAUUAUUGGGCGUAAAGGGCGCGUAGGCGGCUUUGCGUGUCUUUCGUGAAAUCCCUCGGCUCAACUGAGGACGUGCGGAAGAAACUGCAGGGCUGGAGUCCGGGAGAGGAGGGUGGAAUUCCCAGUGUAGCGGUGAAAUGCGUAGAUAUUGGGAGGAACACCGGUGGCGAAGGCGGCCCUCUGGGACGGUACUGACGCUGAGACGCGAAAGCGUGGGGAGCGAACAGG
rnacentral:rRNA from 1 species